rnacentral:rRNA from 1 species
ACGGCUCAGUAACACGUGGAUAACCUGCCCUUGGGUCCGGCAUAACCCCGGGAAACUGGGGAUAAUUCCGGAUAACGCAUAUGUGCUGGAAUGCUUUAUGCGUCAAACGGAUUCGUCUGCCCAAGGAUGGGUCUGCGGCCUAUCAGGUAGUAGUGGGUGUAAUGUACCUACUAGCCGACAACGGGUACGGGUUGUGAGAGCAAGAGCCCGGAGAUGGAUUCUGAGACAUGAAUCCAGGCCCUACGGGGCGCAGCAGGCGCGAAAACUUUACAAUGCGGGAAACCGUGAUAAGGGGACACCGAGUGUCAGCAUCAUAUGCUGGCUGUCCAGGUGUGUAAAAUACACCUGUUAGCAAGGGCCGGGCAAGACCGGUGCCAGCCGCCGCGGUAACACCGGCGGCCCGAGUGGUGAUCGUGAUUAUUGGGUCUAAAGGGUCCGUAGCCGGUUUGGUCAGUCCUCCGGGAAAUCUGAUAGCUCAACUAUUAGGCUAUCGGGGGAUACUGCCAGACUUGGAACCGGGAGAGGUAAGAGGUACUACAGGGGUAGGAGUGAAAUCUUGUAAUCCCUGUGGGACCACCUGUGGCGAAGGCGUCUUACCAGAACGGGUUCGACGGUGAGGGACGAAAGCUGGGGGCACGAACCGGAUUAGAUACCCGGGUAGUCCCAGCCGUAAACGAUGCUCGCUAGGUGUCAGGCAUGGCGCGACCGUGUCUGGUGCCGCAGGGAAGCCGUGAAGCGAGCCACCUGGGAAGUACGGCCGCAAGGCUGAAACUUAAAGGAAUUGGCGGGGGAGCAC